UGGGGAAUAUUGGACAAUGGGGGCAACCCUGAUCCAGCAAUGCCGCGUGUGUGAAGAAGGCCUGCGGGUUGUAAAGCACUUUUAGUUAAGAGGAAAAGUUGAUUGCGAAUAACAGUUGACUCUGACGCUAUUAACAGAAAAAGCACCGGCUAACUCUGUGCCAGCAGCCGCGGUAAUACAGAGGGUGCAAGCGUUAAUCGGAAUGACUGGGCGUAAAGGGCGCGUAGGUGGUUGAUUAAGUUGGAUGUGAAAUCCCUGGGCUUAACCUAGGAACUGCAUUCAAUACUGGUUAACUUGAGUAUGGGAGAGGGUAGUGGAAUUUCCGGUGUAGCGGUGAAAUGCGUAGAUAUCGGAAGGAACAUCAGUGGCGAAGGCGACUGCCUGGCCCAAUACUGACACUGAGGCGCGAAAGCGUGGGUAGCGAACAGG
rnacentral:rRNA from 1 species